rnacentral:rRNA from 1 species
GAACUUAAGCAUAUCAAUAAGCGGAGGAAAAGAAACCAACAGGGAUUGCCCCAGUAACGGCGAGUGAAGCGGCAACAGCUCAAAUUUGAAAUCUGGCCCCUCCGGGUCCGAGUUGUAAUUUGUAGAGGAUGCUUUUGGUGAGGUGCCGCCCGAGUUCCCUGGAACGGGACGCCGCAGAGGGUGAGAGCCCCGUCUGGCUGGCCACCGAGCCUCUGUAAAGCUCCUUCGACGAGUCGAGUAGUUUGGGAAUGCUGCUCAAAAUGGGAGGUAUAUGUCUUCUAAAGCUAAAUAUUGGCCAGAGACCGAUAGCGCACAAGUAGAGUGAUCGAAAGAUGAAAAGCACCUUGAAAAGAGGGUUAAACAGUACGUGAAAUUGUUGAAAGGGAAGCGCUUGUGACCAGACUUGGGCGCGGCGGAUCAUCCGGGGUUCUCCCCGGUGCACUUCGCCGCGUCCAGGCCAGCAUCAGUUCGUCGCGGGGGAAAAAGGCUUCGGGAACGUGGCUCCUCCGGGAGUGUUAUAGCCCGUUGCAUAAUACCCUGCGGUGGACUGAGGACCGCGCAUCUGCAAGGAUGCUGGCGUAAUGGUCACCAGCGACCCGUCUUGAAACACGGACCAAGGAGUCGUCUUCGUAUGCGAGUGUUCGGGUGUCAAACCCCUACGCGUAAUGAAAGUGAACGCAGGUGAGAGCUUCGGCGCAUCAUCGACCGAUCCUGAUGUUCUCGGAUGGAUUUGAGUAAGAGCAUACGGGGCCGGACCCGAAA